rnacentral:rRNA from 1 species
UACGUAGGCAGCAAGCGUUGUUCGGAGUUACUGGGCGUAAAGGGUGCGUAGGCGGCUUCUUAAGUCUGGUGUGAAAUCUCCCGGCUCAACUGGGAGGGUGCGCCGGAUACUGGGGGGCUAGAGCGUGGGAGAGGAAAGUGGAAUUCCUGGUGUAGCGGUGAAAUGCGUAGAUAUCAGGAAGAACACCCGUGGCGAAGGCGGUUCUCUGGGACGGUACUGACGCUGAGACGCGAAAGCGUGGGGAGCGAACAGG